GGACCUACAUAUUACCGUUGAAGCAGGAAAUGGACGUCUAAGACAUGUCCUCAUCACCACGCAUAAAAAUUUUCCUUGCAGACUAAAUCUUGAGUAAAAUUUUUACUUGUGAUGAUCUAUGAGUUAGAUUUUUGCCUGGUGACGUGGUCAAACCCCAGAUUUUCAUUUUUGGGUCCAAUGGCAGUUUCCAGGCUUCU
rnacentral:pre_miRNA from 1 species